rnacentral:rRNA from 1 species
GCAUGCAGUCGCACGCGAACGGAGGANCUUGCUUUUCCNAGUAGAGUGGCGAACGGGUGAGUAAUGUAUGGACAAUCUACCCUUGACUCGGGGACAACCGUUGGAAACGACGGCUAAUACCCGAUAGCCCCGGUAGGGUACAUCCCGGCCGGGUAAAGGUGGCAACACUGGUUGAGGAGGGGUCCAUAUCCCAUCAGCUUGUUGGCGGGGUAAAGGCCCACCAAGGCGACGACGGGUAGCCGAACUGAGAGGUUGAUCGGCCACAUCGGGACUGAGGCACUGCCCGGACUCCUACGGGAGGCUGCAGUCGAGAAUCUUCCGCAAUGGACGCAAGUCUGACGGAGCGACGCCGCGUGAAGGAUGAAGGCCCUCGGGUUGUAAACUUCUGUCACUCGUGAAGAACGUCCAGGUUAGCCCUAGGACUGACGUUAGCGAGAGAGGAAGCCACGGCUAACUUCGUGCCAGCAGCCGCGGUAAUACGAAGGUGGCAACCGUUGCUCGGAUUCACUGGGCAUAAAGCGCGCGUAGGUGGUUAGGCAAGUCAAUGGUGAAAGACCCCGGCCCAACCGGGGAAGUGCCGUUGAAACUGCCUUACUUGAGGACAGGAGGGGAGAGUGGGACCCUUGGCGUAGCGGUGAAAUGCGUANAUAUCAAGAGGAACGCCGGUGGCGAAAGCGACUCUCUGGACUGUUCCUGACACUGANGUGCGAAAGCUAGGGGANCAAACAGNANUAGAUACNNUGGUANUCCUAGCUGUAAACGAUGGGCACUGGGUAGAGGCNGUGCNAGCNNUCUUUGCNNNANNAAAUGUUUUNAGUGCCCNGCCUGGGGAGUAUGGNCGCAAGGCUAAAACUCU